rnacentral:miRNA from 1 species
AGGGAAGAUGUUAGGUUGGUGCAAAAGUAAUUGUGAUUUUUGCCAUUGAAAGUAAUGGAAAACAUUCACAAUUAUGUUUGCACCAACCCAAUA